AGUUUAAAACUUGGGUCAGUCUUGUUGGUGGAAACCCUGAAACAUCUGAUUUUGAAUAUUAUAAGAAUAUUUGUGAUAUACACACUUUUCUGACAGACACAGAAACGGCUAAGCACAUUGGCAGUUCCGAUGCUUCAUCUGCCUGGACAAGUUCAGAGUCAAGUAAUCUUUAUAUCACACAACAUUUACUGCCUACAAUAAUACAGAAGGACUGUUCAGAUCUAAUGGCUCCACAGCGCACAAAGAUUAAGCAUCUUCAAGCAGAAAUAUCAUGCUUGCGAAAAAAAGGACAAUCUUUCAAAGCAAGGUUAAAAGGUGCUGAAGAUUUGUCCAGCAGCAAUGUAUUUCAACAUUUUGCUAUGAAAUUUAAGAAACCAGCUCAAUUAUUUUUAAGUAUGCAGUUGCAAGCAUCAAAAAACCCAAAUAUGAUAGAAAUAACAAUGAUUAUAUAAAAGCAAAAGAAUACAAUAAUAAAAAAUGGUUAUGUUAUCCAAAUCAAGAAUUAGAAAAUUGCUUCCAUGGCAUUCAAAAUAUA